AUCAGAGCCUCUACAUGAGAAGACCUGGAAUCGGAAUGUGAAAGGGGGUGAAGAGGAGAGCAUGCUGGCACGCCUCGCUCUGCUACAUGCUGUUUCUGAACUGUGAUGCACAACAGGGAACCAGGACAGGAAGGAUCUGAUUAGAAAGGAAAAUGAGAAGCAGAGCAGCACUGCGGAGAGGAAAGAAGAAAGUUUGAUUCCUAGCAAUUAAUUAAUUAAUCUAGCUUUUUUUUUUUUUCACUUGGAGAAGGUGGGAAGUAGGGAAAAUAUAAAAAGAGAAAUCCUUAAUUGCAAGUCACCCAGAGAAAACACAUUCAAUACAGAAACUUGGGAUGAGUGAAGGAGCAUGAAGGUGAAUUCAGCCCUGCAGGAAGAAGAGCUUACACCAGGCCAGGUAUGGAGGCCCCUUGUUUCCCACAUGCUACAGAUUCCAGAUCUUGGUCUAGAUACGGUCACCCUGGCUGUAAUGAUACCUCCGGUCUUUUUUUUUUUUUCUGUCACCUAGAACAGGCUAGGAGAAAGGAGGAGCAAAGACCCCAUGGUUCCUGGAAUCCCAUAAAAGCAAAGUUGUAAUGACUUCUGUGACCCUCUUUUUUCCUCCCCUGAAACUAUAAUUAGACAUUAAGUUCACAAACCUCUAUCACCCUAGCAGGUUUCUAAUAAGACCCUUAGGGUAUCCAGUCCCUUGCUGUCUUAUCUCAUUUCAUUAAUUACAUUUCAUGAUCACUGAGGGUCAGGAGGUGGAGGAAGAACCAGCAUCCAAUUUCAGGGAGCAGCGGCAAUCUCAGAUACAGGCAAGCGAGAUGAUGCUAAAAAAAAUCAAUUCAGCAGUCAGCUGUGACACACGAAUGGCUCCCAGUAAUAGGGUGAGGAUGAGCCAAGUACAGAUGCAGGUACGGAAUGAAACAUUUUGAUCCCUCUGUGUGCAGCAGUGCACUGGGAUAGCUGCAGUGAUUGUGGUGUAAGCUCGCUAUGGGUGGGGAGAAGUCUCUGGGGAAUCGCAGCCAAACAUGGAGACUAGACAAUUUGGGACUAAAAUGCAUGGAGUGUUGCUUCUCAAAGUUGGUUUGUCAAGUGCUAUAAGGCUUAGAUGAAUAAAAAAAGGGACUCCCUUGGGGAUGCUUGCAAAGAAGAGUAAGACCUUGUUUAUCUGGCAACUUCAAGUAUCCAGAGAACACAAAUGAGAUAAGUGAGCGUAAGAGCCUCUGCGUAGUCUACAGAUGAAAUAAACACCAUGCCUCAAGGUUCAUUGUUAUUGGGAACAACACACCUCACAAAAAUGACUUUUCACACUUGCUUUAGGAUCAAAGCUAAUCAAUUUGGUUAUUUGAUUUCCUGGUGUGGGUAGUUCAGUUUCAAAAAAGGAGUCUAUUUCUUCUGCCCUUGAAUCUAGUCCAGCUUAGUGACUUGUUUUAGCCAAUAAAAGGCAACAGAAGUGACAGAAUGCCAGUUCUAAUCUGCAAGAGUUUUGCAUGCUUCUGUUCUCUCUCUUGGAAUCCCACUAUCCCCAUGUGGAAAAGGUCAAACUAGUCUGCUGGAGGGUGAGAGACCAUAUUAAGGAGCACUCAACUGUCCCAGCUGAGGCCAUCCUAAACCAGCAGAAGCCAAACAUGUGAGAGAGCCCAGCCAAGAUCAGCAGAGCUGCCUAGCCAACCCAUAGCCACAUAGAGAAACAUGGCUGAGACCAGUAGAGCCAGGUGGCACAUAGACAUGUGAGCAAUAGCAAAAGCCUAUUUUUUAAGCCACUGAGUUUUGGGGUGUUUUGUUACUCAGUGACAGCUAACUGAUACACAUGGUAUGCUACAGAUUGGAAAGCGGGGGUUGGGUGGGGGGGGAAGGGUUAGUAGAGAAAGCAGACAAACAGACAACUAAAAGGCAGAAACAGGAAUUCAAAGAAUAUUAUUAUCUGGGGCCAUUUAGGGAAGGGGAAGCAGGGCACCUUAUAAGAUCCUGACCACUGACAGUUUUAAAGCAUAAUAGAAGACUACUGACUCUGAGUCAUCUAGGAAAAUUAACUGAAAUGUAGUGUCCUUUUGUUAGGAAGUAAAGUGUAUGAACCAUAUUUAAGAAACACUGCCAUUAAAAAAUAGUUAAAAUAGGCCAGGCGCGGUGGCUCAUGCCUGUAAUCCCAGCACUNNNNNNNNNNNNNNNNNNNNNNNNNNNNNNNNNNNNNNNNNNNNNNNNNNNNNNNNNNNNNNNNNNNNNNNNNNNNNNNNNNNNNNNNNNNNNNNNNNNNNNNNNNNNNNNNNCAGCCUGGGCAACAGAGCAAGACUCCGUCUCAAAAAAAAAAAAAAAAGUUAAAAUAAAAAGCUUAGGGUGUUAAGUGUCAUUUAUCUGAGACACUCAUGUGUGUGUGCAGAGACAAUACAUUCUGCAACAAAAAUUGGGUAACAGCUCAGAAAGCCUUUUGUGUUGCUUCCAGGUGCAAAAGGCAGCCUAGGAAAUGCAGUUUGGUUGCCAUGAUGCUGGCAUUUUGGGGACACUUAAGCACUCAGGAAGACAAUGGACAGAAUAUUUGGAACUGGGAUGAUCUGAGAAAUUCUGUGCAGAAGAGCAAGUCUUUUCUCCCCCAAAACCCCAGAUUAGUGAUGGCGUGUGAGGCAAUGGAAGGAGACAUGCAGUGCAAGGUCAGCCUUAGGCAGCCUGCAGAGAUCUCUGUGUGGGAGACUGAGGGGAGACAGAGGGUGCAGGAAAGAAUUGCAUUAGCAGCCUCCCUCCUUGGCCUGCCCUUUGUUUGCUCCUUUAAGCACCAUAUAUCCAGUUCAUUCUGUCUCAUGCCCUUGAAUUCUGCUCUCUUCCGAAGCACAAGUAAGCGUCAUGCUGGAAAAUAAUUAUUAUUCACAUUCCUAGUGUGCAGACUGAGUCCCAAGGACUGGACCAUGCUUUUGCCAUGCAUGAACUCAUUAAUCCUAUAAUUUAAAUACAACUACUAUCUCCCCUCUAAAGAGGUGAAAACAGGCACCGAGAGAAGAAGCCACUGGCUUCAUCAGUUAGAAAACAGGAAAUGGCAGGGGCAGGUUUCAAACCUCGAUGGUCGGUUUCAGACCCAUUCCCUAAACUGUCUGUUCUGCCCCUUUAGUUUGCAAAGUUCCCUUUUUCCCUCCCUGCUGGUCUGGAUGCACCCUUUAGUCCAACCCUGACUGUAGACAUCCCAGAGCCCAGCCUCGCUGUCCCCAGCCCUCCUGCCUCUCCUCACUAUUAGUUCUCAUAGAACUGGGUGAAAAAUGAUGAAGACCUUUCCUGGGGGAUGCAGUUUCCUGGGGGAUAUGGAAUUGCCACUUAUCACCUGGAGCAGGCCCAGGGAAGCCAGAUCAGGAUGGGGAUGUGGAUGUGGAUGUGGAUGUGUGUGCCCACCUAAGAGAGCUCAGCCUGCAUCUCUGGCAGCUUCUCACCAGCUGCCAGCACCUCCUCCCUGGCCCCAUCUUCACAGAGCCACUGACAGGCCCGGCUCCCAGCUGCUUUAUCUCCAGCUAACACGCAUCUCCGUUCCCUCCUCCUCCUCAUCUGGGGGUUUCCUUGUGGCUCUAAUGAAAAACCCUCGUGUCACAUUGAAAAGUUGCCAGUUAUUGCUGCUGGGAAUAAAAUCCAGCCUCAAAGGAACCACAGUGAGACCUAAAAAGCAUUUUCAGAGCCUGGUACUCUGGCCAGAAGCCACACAUGAUGAGAGAGGAGGUAUGAGGUGAUUCUGCAGCCUACACAGCUAGCUGAAACAGCGACUCCAGAGUGAUCAGUACCUCAGUGUAAGUUGAGCUCCAGCCAGGGCAACUUUCCAGCACAUUUGCAUAGAAAAAGCAGGAGUGUCAGUCAUUCUCAAUGGGAGUGACUUUCACCCCACCCAGGGGACAUUUGGCAAUGUCUGGAGACAUUUUUGGUUCUCACAGCUGUGGUGGUGGGGGGACUACUGGCCUAUAAUGGGGAGAGGUCAGGAAUGCUGCUAACUAUCCUAUAAUUCAUAGGACAUUAAGAACGCAACAAGGAAUUAUCUGGCUCAGAAUGUCACUAGAGUCACAAUCGAGAAACCCUGGAAUAAAGACGUGAGCCCAAGUCCAGGGAUGUCCUUAGCCCCUGAAGGUAGGGUAUUCAAUCAGACUCUUUGUUUGGGGUUGGAGUUUCUAUACCUUCCAUUUGUUGUAAUUUAUCUAGAAAAAAGAUGUGAAUCAACCCAGGGGCCAGCAGAGAAAGGCUUACAGGCUUAUAGAGGGCUCUCUCAGCCAGCCCUCUGUAGGAGCUGGGCUUAAAAGACUCAGUUUAUCUGACAUCCAAUAAAUACCAAGACCCAACUUAAGCUCUUGAUUCCUUAAGCAAUUGGUCAUUGCUUUAACGGUAGCAUAUGGAUGAAUAAAUAUUCACUACUGAGCUGCCUGGUUAGAUUUAUUCCAUAUAGAUUCCCCAUGUGGUCUCCCAUCUUCACGGAAGAGUUAAAAAAACAGACCAUUUAGUUGAUAAAAUUGAGUCUCCCAUGAGUUAACGGAGCGGAACUAGCUACUGGUGCAGACUGAAGCACACACACCGCUGUGGAAGCCAGGCUGGAGGGGCCAAAUAUUUUCUUUACAGCUGAUUCGAUGCAGUUCAGUGGUUGAUGGCGUGUGGAGGCGGAAUACUUCCCGAUGAUCCAGUCCCCUCCUGUCUAUGCAGCCAGCACCUCAAAGGACACACAUAAUUUCUUUUCCCCUAUAAAGUGAAUCUGGGCAUUUUAUAGCUGAAAGGGGAGCAAUUUCCAUUUGAAUUAAUCCAGAGGCUGAAGGCAAAAGUGCAUUAUGUAGCUUUAAAGGACAUUCUUCCUUGAUUGACAAGGUCCCGUGGCCACCCCCUGUAAAGCCUUAGCAACGGAACAUUUCUUGACAUCACUCAAGGGAGGUCUGUUAUCUUAGUUAUACUCACAUGGAGCCUGUGGGUUUUUCUGCACCCCAGUCUAAGGAAUAACUACAGUCUAACUCUUGGCGUUGAACACAUUCGUUAACCAUAACCCUGUAACAUUUCUUCCCUGUUAAAUU
rnacentral:lncRNA from 1 species